UUUUUCAAAUUCUUUCACUUUCUUUUUGACUCAUCCUGUAGUUGGUUCAACCGGUCACGUGGGAAUAAACUUGAUGAAUACAUCCUGAAAAUGGCUUUGGGGAUAAUGACAGUAUAUGGAUGUGAUUGGACGGAGGAGCAGAUAUAUAAAGUGUUUGAGGACCUACGUGGAUCUGUUUGGGCCUACAAUGACGCCCAUUCACUGAGCAGAUUCAGGAUUACCCAUCGAGAACUCGAAAAGAUAGGAGAGAACAAGGCCAGUUUCUGCGGUAAAAUUAUUCAUUCAGGUUCCCUGAAGUCCAUCAAGAUGAUCCCUAAUAAGACAGCAGACGGUACAGGCAUCAACUCCGACACCCUGGCCUUACAGGUGAAGACCCAUCCUGAGCUGAGGGACUAGCUUCAUGUCGUCACCUCUUGGGGGCCUUUGCCUGUCUACCCUGGGGUGGUCAACUCAGAAUUACCUGAGGAAGUACGGUACCUGUCCUCACGGAGGCUACGGUCUCGGACUGGAACGAUUCUUGACCUGGAUCCUAAACCGCAUGCAUAUCAGGGACGUCUGCUUCUACCCACGCUUCAUAAAACGAUGCAUGCCAUAGAUGCGUCAACAUGUCGCCUUCAAUUCUUGAUUCUAAGCAUUGCUUAAUAUUUAGUGCGGGAAAUCAAGAUUAAUAAGGGGUGGGGCUAGGUUGAUCAAGUGGGGGGGGGGGGGUUGAUUGUAUGCCCUAAGACCAAAUUUCUAGAGAUAAUUAUGCCAUUGUAUUGUAAGGUAUUUCUUCAAGGUGCAGUUUUAAACUUUCUUCACAGUUCGCUCUUUUAGUUUCAAGUAGUUUUGGGUUUUUUUAACCAAAACUCAUAACAAAUUGCAAGGGUUCAACCUAACAUUUCUUAUGAAAUUUGGCCGAAACAGGACUUGCCUCCAAAUGACUCGGCAAUGCCCUACGAUGUAAGAUGAGUUUCAAUCAGUGUUCAAAAAUCCAUUUUUAUGAAGAUUUGAGCAAAAAUUACCGGUUUAUUGAUUGGAAAGAAGUUAUCUUUUGUGACCGCAAUUUCUCCCACAUUUUUGAUGUGAUUAUCUGUUGGAUGGAAUAUCUGACCAGAAAUCGUGUUGGAAUUGGGCCUCAAGUACUUUAGGCCCCCCCCCCCCCC
rnacentral:lncRNA from 1 species